UUCUCCGAGGUUCCCUUCAAAACGCAUAGAUGUUUCGCCAUUUACUAAAGAUUUCCGUGGAGGGAAGCAACUAGGUGAGUCUUCUCCGAGACUAUGGGUCCCUACAAUUGCAACAGAC